CCUACGGGAGGCAGCAGUGAGGAAUAUUGGUCAAUGGCCGGAAGUCUGAACCAGCCAUGCCGCGUGAAGGUCAGUGCCCUAUGGGCGUUAAACUUCUUUUGUUCGGGAGCAAUAAUGGUCACGUGUGGCCAUACGAGAGUACCGUCCUAAUAAGCAUCGGCUAACUCCGUUCCAGCAGCCGCGGUAAUACGGGGGAUGCAAGCGUUAUCCGGAUUUACUGGGUGUAAAGGGGGCGCAGACGGCAGCGCAAGCCAGGAGUGAAAGCCCGGGGCCCAACCCCGGGACUGCUCUUGGAACUGCGCGGCUGGAGUGCAGGAGGGGCAGGCGGAAUUCCUGGUGUAGCGGUGAAAUGUGUAGAUAUCAGGAGGAACACCGGUGGCGAAGGCGGCCUGCUGGACUACGACUGACGUUGAGGCCCGAAAGCGUGGGGAGCAAACAGGAUUAGAUACCCGGGUAGUC
rnacentral:rRNA from 1 species